UUUUGCAUCAUGAUUUAGCUAGCACAAAUCAAGCAAAGCGAGCUUUAGUUUGAGACCCCGAAACCGAGUGAGCUACUCCAAGACAGCCUAAUAGAAGGGCGAACCCGUCUCUGUUGCAAAAGAGUGGGAUGAGCUUCGAGUAGCGGUGACAGACCUAUCGAACCCGGUUAUAGCUGGUUGCCCGUGAAAUGAAUAGCAGUUCAGCCCCAUGGCUUCUCCUUUCAAUGCUGAUUACUUCCAGCGAUAAUUAGAGAAACCACGGGAGUUAAUUAAAGGGGGGACAGCCCCUUUGAUACAGGACACAACCUUUCCAGGAGGGUAAGGAUCAUGUUUAAUAUAAGGUUCUGCGUCCUGGUGGGCUUGAGAGCAGCCACCCAAUUAGAAAGCGUUAAACCUCAAACGUAUUUACACCUAUUAUAAGGAUAUUAUUAUCUCAACCCCCUAAUCUUACCGGGCCGCCCCAUACCAUUAUGGGAGUGACCAUGCUAAUAUGAGUAACAAGAGAGCUAAGCCUCUCUCCUUGCAUAAGUGUAUCUCGGAUCGAACUCGCACCGAAUCUUAACGGCCCCUAGCAGUAGAGGGAAAUGAGCCAUAAAUAGACAACAAGAAAACUACUCAACUGACAACCGUUAACCCCACACUGGCAUGCCCACAAGGAAAGACUAAAAGAAAGAGAAGGAACUCGGCAAACAUAAUUAGAGCCUCGCCUGUUUACCAAAAACAUCGCCUCUUGCAAGAUCGAAGAAUAAGAGGUCCCGCCUGCCCUGUGACUAUAUGUUUAACGGCCGCGGUAUCCUGACCGUGCGAAGGUAGCGCAAUCACUUGUCUUUUAAAUGGAGACCUGUAUGAAUGGCACAACGAGGGCUCAACUGUCUCCUCUUUCCGGUCAGUGAAAUUGAUCUCCCCGUGCAGAAGCGGGGAUAACAACAUAAGACGAGAAAGACCCUGUGGAGCUUUAGACACCAGGGCGGAUCAUGUUAAGACACCCCCCCCAAGGGUAUAAACAUAAUGAAUCCCGCCCCAUGUCUUUGGUUGGGGCGACCGUGGGGUAGUGAAUAACCCCCAUGUGGACCGAGAGUACCUCUCCUAGAAGCAAGAAUUACAAUUCUAACUAACAAAACCUUUGACCUGUAAGAUCCGGCUACGCCGAUCAACGGACCUAGUUACCCCAGGGAUAACAGCGCAAUCCCCUUUGAGAGCCCCUAUCGAUAAGGGGGUUUACGACCUCGAUGUUGGAUCAGGACAUCCUGAUGGUGCAG
rnacentral:rRNA from 1 species